rnacentral:rRNA from 1 species
GUUGGUAAAUUUCGUGCCAGCCACCGCGGUCAUACGAUUAACCCAAACUAAUAGGCCUACGGCGUAAAGCGUGUUCAAGAUACUUUUACACUAAAGUUAAAACUUAACUAAGCCGUAAAAAGCUACAGUUAUCAUAAAAUAAACCACGAAAGUGACUUUAUAAUAAUCUGACUACACGAUAGCUAAAACCCAAACUGGGAUUAGAUACCCCACUAU